rnacentral:tRNA from 1 species
GACAGUGUGGCCGAGUGGUCUAAGGCGCUGGUCUCGAAUGAAAACCAGUCUCUUCGGAGGCGUCGGUUCGAAUCCGACCGCUGUCG